GUAGGUGGCAAGCGUUGUCCGGGAAUUAUUGGGGCGUAAAGCGCGCGCAGGCGGUUCUUUAAGUCUGAUGUGAAAGCCCACGGGCUCAACCGUGGAGGGUCAUCGGAAACUGGAGAACUUGAGUACAGAAGAGGAGAGCGGAAUUCCACGUGUAGCGGUGAAAUGCGUAGAGAUGUGGAGGAACACCAGUGGCGAAGGCGGCUUUCUGGUCUGUAACUGACGCUGAGGCGCGAAAGCGUGGGGAGCAAACAGGAUUAGAUACCCUGGUAGUCCACGCCGUAAACGAUGAGUGCUAAGUGUUAGGGGGUUUCCGCCCCUUAGUGCUGCAGCUAACGCAUUAAGCACUCCGCCUGGGGAGUACGGCCGCAAAGGCUG
rnacentral:rRNA from 1 species